GACGAACGCUGGCGGCGUGCCUAAUACAUGCAAGUCGAACGGUCUUUUCUAUGGAAGCUGGCUUCCACUGAGAAGAUAGUGGCGAACGGGUGAGUAACACGUGGGUAACCUGCCCAUAAGAGGGGGAUAACAUCGGGAAACGGGUGCUAAUACCGCAUAGGUUGCUUGAUCGCAUGAUCGAGAAAGGAAAGACGGCCUCUGUGCUGUCGCUUAUGGAUGGACCCGCGGCGUAUUAGUUAGUUGGUGAGGUAACGGCUCACCAAGACGAUGAUACGUAGCCGACCUGAGAGGGUGAUCGGCCACAUUGGGACUGAGACACGGCCCAAACUCCUACGGGAGGCAGCAGUAGGGAAUCUUCCGCAAUGGACGAAAGUCUGACGGAGCAACGCCGCGUGAGUGAAGAAGGUUUUCGGAUCGUAAAACUCUGUUGUCAGAGAAGAACAAGUCGGAGAGUAACUGCUCCGGCCUUGACGGUAUCUGACCAGAAAGCCACGGCUAACUACGUGCCAGCAGCCGCAGUAACAC
rnacentral:rRNA from 1 species